rnacentral:misc_RNA from 1 species
CAGACAUAUUGAGCCUGGGGAUUUAACAUCUAAUGCUGUUUACAAAAAGGUACAAGAGGAUUUUAUCCUCAACAUCCUGUGUUCCCCACAAGAACUUGCUCACUAAUUGGCUAGCAAAUGUUACAUGAAAACUCGCCUCUCGUCUUAAAGAGAUUAAAAAAAAUGAAAUGCUACUCACUAAAGAAACCGUAAAGCUAGUCAGAACUUAG